GGAUCAUUAAAGAGUUUAAUAAAACUCCUAAACCCCUGUGAACUUACUGGUGUUUGGCUCGCCAGAUAUAGUCUGGUCCGUAAGCAAAUCGACUGCCUGCCUGUGUAACAGGCAGGUAAGCUUUUGUCGCGGGGUCCCGGAUCAACCCGGGCUAGAUAGCCACUUAACUAUAUACUUUUUAUAAAAUCUGUGAACUUACUAGGUUGGAUUCUCGCCAGAGAUAGUCUGGUUUCUGCUUCGCGGAUCGCCUACCCGUGACACCUGUCACAGGCAGGUAUGCUUCUGCCGCGGGUCCGUAAGUAAAUCAUCUGUUUCGCAAGGGACGGCGAUUUACCUGUGGAAGAGGUCCGCUAACUAUAUUCUUAGUAUAGUUUGUUCACUAGAUCAAACAUUCUGAAUAAAAACUUAAACUAGUUAAAACUUUCAACAACGGAUCUCUUGGUUCUGGCAUCGAUGAAGAACGCAGCGAAAUGCGAUAAGUAAUGUGAAUUGCAGAAUUCAGUGAAUCAUCGAAUCUUUGAACGCACAUUGCGCCCAUUAGUAUUCUAGUGGGCAUGCCUGUUCGAGCGUCAUUUCAACCCUUAAGCCCCUGUUGCUUAGCGUUGGGAGCCUACGGCCUGCUGUAGCUCCUUAAAGGUAGUGGCGGAGUCGGUUCACACUCUAGACGUAGUAAAAUCUUUAUCUCGCCUAUGGAUGAGCCGGCGCCUUGCCGUAAAACCCCUAAUCUUUCACAAGGUUGACCUCGGAUCAGGUAGGAAUACCCGCUGAACUUAAGCAUAUCAAUAAGCGGAGGAAAAGAAACCAACAGGGAUUGCCCUAGUAACGGCGAGUGAAGCGGCAACAGCUCAAAUUUGAAAUCUGGCCUUCGGGUCCGAGUUGUAAUUUGCAGAGGAUGCUUUGGGCGCGGUGCCUUCCGAGUUCCCUGGAACGGGACGCCUUAGAGGGUGAGAGCCCCGUACGGUUGGACACCAAGCCUCUGUAAAGCUCCUUCGACGAGUCGAGUAGUUUGGGAAUGCUGCUCUAAAUGGGAGGUAAAUUUCUUCUAAAGCUAAAUAUUGGCCAGAGACCGAUAGCGCACAAGUAGAGUGAUCGAAAGAUGAAAAGCACUUUGAAAAGAGGGUUAAAUAGCACGUGAAAUUGUUGAAAGGGAAGCGUUUACGACCAGACCUUUUCGCAGCGGAUCAUCCGGUGUUCUCACCGGUGCACUUCGCUGGGUUGAGGCCAGCAUCGGUUUCCGCAGGGGGAUAAAAGCCUGGGGAACGUAGCUCCCUCGGGAGUGUUAUAGCCCCUCGCAUAAUACCCUUGCGGGGACCGAGGACCGC
rnacentral:rRNA from 1 species